rnacentral:rRNA from 1 species
GAUGAACGCUGGCGGCGUGCCUAAUACAUGCAAGUCGAGCGAACAGACGAGGAGCUUGCUCCUCUGACGUUAGCGGCGGACGGGUGAGUAACACGUGGAUAACCUACCUAUAAGACUGGGAUAACUUCGGGAAACCUGAGCUAAUACCGGAUAAUAUAUUGAACCGCAUGGUUCAAUAGUGAAAGACGGUUUUGCUGUCACUUAUAGAUGGAUCCGCGCCGCAUUAGCUAGUUGGUAAGGUAACGGCUUACCAAGGCAACGAUGCGUAGCCGACCUGAGAGGGUGAUCGGCCACACGGGAACUGAGACACGGUCCAGACUCCUACGGGAGGCAGCAGUAGGGAAUCUUCCGCAAUGGGCGAAAGCCUGACGGAGCAACGCCGCGUGAGUGAUGAAGGUCUUCGGAUCGUAAAACUCUGUUAGUAGGGAAGAACAAAUGUGUAAGUAACUAUGCACGUCUUGACGGUACCUAAUCAGAAAGCCACGGCUAACUACGUG